GCCGGGUGUGGUGGCGCGCGCCUGUAAUCCAAGCGUCCUGGAGGCUGAGGCUGGAGGAUGGGUGGAGCUCCGGAGCUCUGAGCUGCAGUGAACUAUGCUGAUCGGGGGUCCGCGCUCAGGUCGGCAUCGAUAUGGUCUCCCUGGGGGAGCCCGGGGCGACCAGGUCGUCUAAGGAGGGGUGAACCGACCCAGGCCGGAAACGGAGCAGGUCAAAGCCCGCGUGCCGCUCAAUAGCGGGAUGGCGCCUGAGAGUAGACGCUGCAGCACAGCCUGAGAUACUCAUCCAGACCCAGUCUUUU
rnacentral:SRP_RNA from 1 species